AAUUGAGGGGAAAUUAGUAUAUUAAUAAUUAGUAAUAAAAAUAAUUUUAAAAUAUUUGAUGGGGGUUAAAGUAUUUUAAAAAAAAAAAUUAUUUAAUUUAUAGUAAAUUAGUAUUGUAAAAUAAAUUUGAAAUAAUUGAAAACAAAUUAAUGAAAAAGUAAAUUUAAUUUAUUGUAUCUUGUGUAUCAGAGUUUAUUAAUAAAAUAAUAUUCUUAAUAGAAAAAUUCUCGAAUUUAAAAGAGUUAAUUAAUUAUAAAAUUUAUUGUAGCAAAAAUAUUUUUCAUAAUUAAUUAGAAAUGAAAUGUUAAUCGUUUUUAAUAGAUAUCUAGUUUUUUUAGAAAAAAAUUUAAUCUUAAAUUAAUUUAAUUAAAAAAUUAAUUAAUUAAUCUUUUAAAAAUUAAAUUUAAUAUUUUAAGGGAUAAGCUUUGAAUUAAAUUUUUAUAAUUAAUUAUUAAUUUUAAAUAAAAUUUUUAAAAUUUAUAUUGUUUAAAAAUUAUAAUUUUUUAUAAAUAAUUUUAUUUUAAAUAAAAUUUAAUAAAAAUUUAAUUUUUUAUAAAAAAAAAAUAAAAUAUAAUUUAUUAAUUUUAGUUAUAAUGAUAAAAUUAGUAUAUUUAUAUAUAUAUAUAUAUAUAUAUAAUUAAUAUAAAUUAACAUUAUAAUUUAAAUUAAUAUUAAGGAAUUCGGCAAAAAUUCAUAUUCACUUGUUUAACAAAAACAUGUCUUUUUGAAAUAAUUUAAAGUCUAAUCUGCCCACUGAUAAAAAUUAAAGGGUUGCAGUAAUUUGACUGUACAAAGGUAGCAUAAUCAUUAGUCUCUUAAUUGGUGACUUGUAUGAAAGAUUGGAUGAAAUAUUAACUAUCUAAAUAUUAUAAAUAAAAUUUAAUUUUUUAAUUAAAAAGUUAAAAUAAUAAUAAAAGACGAGAAGACCCUAUAGAGUUUUAUAUAUGUAUUAUUAUAAUUUUUUUUUUAUUAGUCUAAAUUUUAAGUUAAUAUUUAUAUUUUAUUGGGGUGAUAAAAAAAUAAAAAUAACUUUUUUUAUAUUUAUAUAUAUAUAUAUAUAUAUAUAUAAACAUUUAUAAAUGAGAAAAUGAUCCAUAAUUUAUGAUUAAAAGAUUAAAUUACCUUAGGGAUAACAGCGUAAUUUUUUUUUUUAGUUCAAAUAAAAAAGAAAGUUUGCGACCUCGAUGUUGGAUUAAGGUAAAAUUUAAACGCAAAAGUUUAAAAUUUUGAUCUGUUCGAUCAUUAAAACCUUACAUGAUCUGAGUUCAAAUCAGUGUAAGCCAGAUUGGUUUCUAUCUUAUUUAAAUAAAAUAUUUUAGUACGAAAGGAUUAAAUAUUUAAAAUAAUUUUAUAUAAAAGAAUUUUAUUAAUUUUUUUUUAUA
rnacentral:rRNA from 1 species